rnacentral:rRNA from 1 species
AGCGAACGCUGGCGGCAGGCUUAACACAUGCAAGUCGAACGGGCGUAGCAAUACGUCAGUGGCAGACGGGUGAGUAACACGUGGGAACGUACCUUUUGGUUCGGAACAACUGAGGGAAACUCCAGCUAAUACCGGAUAAGCCCUUACGGGGAAAGAUUUAUCGCCGAAAGAUCGGCCCGCGUCUGAUUAGCUAGUUGGUGGGGUAAGAGCCCACCAAGGCGACGAACAGUAGCUGGUCUGAGAGGAUGAUCAGCCACAUUGGGCCUGAGACACGGCCCAAACUCCUACGGGAGGCAGCAGUGGGGAAUAUUGGACAAUGGGCGAAAGCCUGAUCCAGCCAUGCCGCGUGAGUGAUGAAGGCCCUAGGGUUGUAAAGCUCUUUUAACGGGGAAGAUAAUGACGGUACCCGUAGAAUAAGCCCCGGCUAACUUCGUGCCAGCAGCCGCCGUAA